rnacentral:pre_miRNA from 1 species
GGUUACCGUGCAUAAGGAAAUCCUUAUGCACUUGCAUAAAUCUAAAAAUGGUUUUGGAGUGUAACUCACAUAGACCAUUUUCACAUCAAAAUAGUUUUGGCAUAAUUGGGUUGGGAUUUAUGCAGGGUGCUGGAAACCAUUAAAUACAUCUAAUGAUUUUGGAGUACAAUUCACUAAAACCAUUUAUAGAUUUAUGCAGGGUGCAUAAGGAUUUCCUUAUGCACCAUAUAAC